rnacentral:sRNA from 1 species
UCGUCCGGGGAUCGCCCCCCGUCAGCGCGUUGCGCCCACGGGGGCGCACCUG